rnacentral:rRNA from 1 species
AGCGAACGCUGGCGGCAGGCCUAAAACAUGCAAGUCGAACGCCGUAGCAAUACGGAGUGGCAGACGGGUGAGUAACACGUGGGAACGUACCCUUUGGUUCGGAACGACACAGGGAAACUUGUGCUAAUACCGGAUAAGCCCUUACGGGGAAAGAUUAUCGCCAAAGGAUCGGCCCGCGUCUGAUUAGCUAGUUGGUGGGGUAACGGCCCACCAAGGCUACGAUCAGUAGCUGGUCUGAGAGGANGAUCAGCCACACUGGGACUGAGACACGGCCCAGACUCCUACGGGAGGCAGCAGUUAGGAAUCUUGGACAAUGGGCGCAAGCCUGACCCAGCCAUGCCGCGUGAGUGAUGAAGGCCUUAGGGUU